CUUGCUAAGUUUGAUGGCGACCGGCGCACGGGUGAGUAACACGUAUCCAACCUGCCGAUGACUCGGGGAUAGCCUUUCGAAAGAAAGAUUAANACCCGAUGGCAUAGUUCCUCCGCAUGGUAGAACUAUUAAAGAAUUUCGGUCAUCGAUGGGGAUGCGUUCCAUUAGGUUGUUGGCGGGGUAACGGCCCACCAAGCCUUCGAUGGAUAGGGGUUCUGAGAGGAAGGUCCCCCACAUUGGAACUGGGACACGGUCCAAACUCCUACGGGAGGCAGCAUG
rnacentral:rRNA from 1 species